rnacentral:misc_RNA from 1 species
AAGUCGUAACAAGGUUUCCGUAGGUGAACCUGCGGAAGGAUCAUUCAUAAUAAGUGUUUUAUGGCACUUUUUUAAAUCCAUAUCCACCUUGUGGUGCAAAUGGUCAGGGUUGAUUUCUUUUCGAGAGGAUCAGGCCCCAAAACAUCAACUAUUAUCUCAACUCUUUGUCUGAAAAAUAUUAUGAAUAAAACCAAUUCAAAAUACAA